rnacentral:rRNA from 1 species
UGGGGAAUCUUGCACAAUGGGGGCAACCCUGAUCCAGCCAUGCCGCGUGAGUGAAGAAGGCCCUCGGGUUGUAAAGCUCUUUUGUCCGGAAAGAAAAGCAUUCGGUGAAUACCCGGAUGUUCUGACGGUACCGGAAGAAUAAGCACCGGCUAACUUCGUGCCAGCAGCCGCGGUAAUACGAAGGGUGCAAGCGUUACUCGGAAUUACUGGGCGUAAAGCGUGCGUAGGUGGUUGUUUAAGUCUGAUGUGAAAGCCCUGGGCUCAACCUGGGAAUGGCAUUGGAAACUGGGAAGCUAGAGUGCGGUAGAGGGUAGUGGAAUUCCCGGUGUAGCAGUGAAAUGCGUAGAGAUCGGGAGGAACAUCUGUGGCGAAGGCGACUGCCUGGACCAGCACUGACACUGAGGCACGAAAGCGUGGGGAGCAAACA